CUGGAGAGAUGACUUAAGAGCUCGCACUUCUCUUGCAAAGGGCCCACACUGGGCAGCUCACAGUGACCUCUAAGUCUAGCACCAGGGAUUCCGACACCUCUGGCCUCCAUGGGCACUCAUAAUUGUGCAUUUUCAAAUGUGCUACCACUGGGACUUACAUAAAAUUGAAAACAUUAUAAGAAGGAUACAGCGUAUCAGAUCUCCAAAACUGUGAAAUAGUCCAGAAACACUGUUUACUUUGAGACAGAAUCCUGGGCUACUAUUCAACUUUUCUUACUUCUUCUUCCAUGUCUUGUCCUUGAUGUGCACUUGACUCAUACUUUGUCAUCUAACUUUACUUUACUAAAGAGAUCUGGAGACAGUGUUCGUGCUGCUAGAACUGGAAGAAAUUCUGGAGAUUCUCUCCUGCUCAACCUAGAAGGGAAUGUCCCAGGAUAACGCCAAACACUGUGGAGUUAGAAGAAAGUGGACACAUGGGUACCACUGUGCUUUCCCCAGCUGACUUCCUGGAGAGGUACCAAGUCUCAGAAGUAUACGUAAGAUUGCCUUUGUUUUCUUUGCCCCAAGGGUAGCCAUGUUUCUCAAAGAUUCUGUGAUGUAGAAAAUAGUUGAGACAUCUUCACUCUGAAAGAUAGAGAUUGUGAUUUCAAAAAUAGCACAUUAUAUUUGGGAAAGUUAGGUGUAUAAAAAUCUGUUUCAUCGAUGCAAAUGCUUUGCAUUUAGAGAAGUGUGUUCUAUCUGGU
rnacentral:lncRNA from 1 species